CAGUAGCCGCGGGAAUACGUAGGGUGCGAGCGUUAAUCGGAAUUACUGGGCGUAAAGCGUGCGCAGGCGGUUAUAUAAGACAGAUGUGAAAUCCCCGGGCUCAGCCUGGGACCUGCAUUUGUGACUGUAUAGCUAGAGUACGGUAGAGGGGGAUGGAAUUCCGCGUGUAGCAGUGAAAUGCGUAGAUAUGCGGAGGAACACCGAUGGCGAAGGCAAUCCCCUGGACCUGUACUGACGCUCAUGCACGAAAGCGUGGGGAGCAAACAGGAUUAGAUACCCGGGUAGUCCCUGUCUCUUAUAC
rnacentral:rRNA from 1 species